GACGUAGGGCGCGAGCGUUGUCCGGAUUUAUUGGGCGUAAAGAGCUCGUAGGCGGCUUGUCGCGUCGUCCGUGAAAACCUGCAGCUCAACUGCAGGCUUGCGGUCGAUACGGGCAGGCUAGAGUUCGGUAGGGGAGACUGGAAUUCCUGGUGUAGCGGUGAAAUGCGCAGAUAUCAGGAGGAACACCGGUGGCGAAGGCGGUUCUCUGGGCCGAUACUGACGCUGAGGAGCGAAAGCGUGGGGAGCGAACAGG
rnacentral:rRNA from 1 species